GAUGAACGCUCGCUACAGGCUUAACACAUGCAAGUCGAGGGGAAACGACAUUGAAGCUUGCUUCGAUGGUCGUCGACCGGCGCACGGGUGAGUAACGCGUAUCCAACCUGCCUCUGACCAAGGGAUAACCCGUCGAAAGUCGGCCUAAUACCUUAUGCAGUCGUCGGAAGUCAUCUGAUGACGACGAAAGAUUUCAUCGGUGAGAGAUGGGGAUGCGUCUGAUUAGCUUGUUGGCGGGGUAACGGCCCACCAAGGCAACGAUCAGUAGGGGUUCUGAGAGGAAGGUCCCCCACAUUGGAACUGCGACACGGUCCAAACUCCUACGGGAGGCAGCAGUGAGGAAUAUUGGUCAAUGGGCGAGAGCCUGAACCAGCCAAGUAGCGUGCAGGAUGACGGCCCUAUGGGUUGUAAACUGCUUUUAUGCGGGGAUAAAGUGAGGGACGUGUCCUUCAUUGCAGGUACCGCAUGAAUAAGGACCGGCUAAUUCCGUG
rnacentral:rRNA from 1 species